rnacentral:rRNA from 1 species
UGGGGCAUAUUGGACAAUGGGCGAAAGCCUGAUCCAGCAAUGCCGCGUGAGUGAUGAAGGCCUUAGGGUUGUAAAGCUCUUUUACCCGGGAUGAUAAUGACAGUACCGGGAGAAUAAGCCCCGGCUAACUCCGUGCCAGCAGCCGCGGUAAUACGGAGGGGGCUAGCGUUGUUCGGAAUUACUGGGCGUAAAGCGCACGUAGGCGGCUUUGUAAGUUAGAGGUGAAAGCCCGGGGCUCAACUCCGGAAUUGCCUUUAAGACUGCAUCGCUAGAAUUGUGGAGAGGUAAGUGGAAUUCCGAGUGUAGAGGUGAAAUUCGUAGAUAUUCGGAAGAACACCAGUGGCGAAGGCGACUUACUGGACACAUAUUGACGCUGAGGUGCGAAAGCGUGGGGAGCAAACA